UAAGGAAUAUUGGUCAAUGGACGCAAGUCUGAACCAGCCAUGCCGCGUGAAGGAUUAAGGCCCUCUGGGUUGUAAACUUCUUUUAUAGGGGACGAAAUGUGACGGUUCUCCGUCACUUGACGGUACCCUGGGAAUAAGCACCGGCUAACUCCGUGCCAGCAGCCGCGGUAAUACGGAGGGUGCAAGCGUUAUCCGGAUUCACUGGGUUUAAAGGGUGCGUAGGUGGGCAGAUAAGUCAGUGGUGAAAUCUUCCGGCUUAACCGGGAAACUGCCGUUGAUACUAUUUGUCUUGAAUAUUGCGGAGGUAAGCGGAAUAUGUCAUGUAGCGGUGAAAUGCUUAGAUAUGACAUAGAACACCAAUUGCGAAGGCAGCUUACUACACAAUCAUUGACACUGAGGCACGAAAGCGUGGGUAGCGAACA
rnacentral:rRNA from 1 species